GUGGGGAAUAUUGGACAAUGGGGGGAACCCUGAUUCAGCCAUGCCGCGUGUGUGAAGAAGGCCUUUUGGUUGUAAAGCACUUUAAGCGAGGAGGAGGCUUACCUGGUUAAUACCUGGGAUAAGUGGACGUUACUCGCAGAAUAAGCACCGGCUAACUCUGUGCCAGCAGCCGCGGUAAUACAGAGGGUGCAAGCGUUAAUCGGAUUUACUGGGCGUAAAGCGCGCGUAGGUGGCCAAUUAAGUCAAAUGUGAAAUCCCCGAGCUUAACUUGGGAAUUGCAUUCGAUACUGGUUGGCUAGAGUAUGGGAGAGGAUGGUAGAAUUCCAGGUGUAGCGGUGAAAUGCGUAGAGAUCUGGAGGAAUACCGAUGGCGAAGGCAGCCAUCUGGCCUAAUACUGACACUGAGGUGCGAAAGCAUGGGGAGCAAACAGGAUUAGAAACCCGGGUAGUCC
rnacentral:rRNA from 1 species